rnacentral:rRNA from 1 species
CCCUUAGAUGUUCUGGGCAGCACGCGCGCUACAAUGGUCUUCGCAAACGGAUGCAUUCUCGAAGGAGAAUGCCAAUCUUGGAAUCUAUGCCUUGGUCGGGACAGUUGCUUGCAAUUUUGCGACUCGAACCAGGAAUUCCUUGUAAUCGUGAUUCAUCACAUCACGAUGAAUACGUCCCUGCCCUUUGUACACACCGCCCGUCGCUCCUACCGAUCGAAGAGUUAGGUGAAUUGUUUUGAUCGAUAAGAUUUGACUAUGGUCAACUCUCGUUGUGAAAUUCUGUGAAUCUGACUGUUUAGAGGAAGGAAAAGUCGUAACA